CCUGGAUGUGGACGUAGGCACC
rnacentral:miRNA from 1 species